AGCGGUAGAGUGAAACGGAAUUAUCACGAUAGGCUCAUAACCUAUAAAUAGUAGGUUCGACUCCUGCAACCGCAA
rnacentral:tRNA from 1 species